AUCCCCCCAAAUCCCUGGACCUCCAUGUGUGACCCGGGGCAGCGGUAUCGACCAGGACCUACCAGGAACUCCCAGCAGCCUCCAGGUUCUCUGCAUUAGAAUCUGAUUUAAGGAGUCUGCACGAGCUGGUGAACGCUCAGGUGUGAGAACCACGCCCAAGAGGAACGAGAGCUGCUAUUUCUGGAGGUCUUCCUCUAGGGUUCCGGGCAGAAAACAGUGAACUGUCAUCCGUCGCCCACCAGCCUCUCUGAACCGGCUCUGCGUGAGUUCUCGCCGUUUUGGUAAACGCACCCGGGAGCCUGCAGGAGCAGAGACCCUGGGGCACGAUGACAUCACUGGGGCCGGUGAUGACCCGCCUUCCUUCCCCACCCGCGUUCCCAGCCAGUUUCCUCAAAGGGAGUAAGAAAUAGAGGCUGAAGCCGCAAAGCUAACCACGAGCAGAGUGGCCUUGGCAGAUGGUUAUGACCUGUCUCCCUGACUCUACCUCUCAAAUGGUGGGUUCCAUUUCAAAACGGAGUGCUGUGUCUUAUGUCAUCUAAUUUCUGUUAAAACCAGUGUCAUUAAAAUUGUGUUCACUCUUAAUCAGGGCCCAGGUUGGCAUGUAUCGGGUAAUUCUGGGCAAUGAGGCCCUAUUUGCCAUGCAGGAAGGGCCUUUCCGAUCAGUUGACCUAACGUGUGUUUUAUGGAAGGGGAAACAGGCCCAAAGAAAGGAAAUGAUCCAUGAAACUAAAGAAGCAAUAGGUUAUGGACGGGGACCCGGGAACCUUGACUGCCACCCCUGCCCCAACGGACAGACUGGUCUUCAUAGUUUCUUCUGACUUAAAAAUCAGUGGGGACUUCCCUGGUGGUCCAGUGGCUAAUCAAACCCGGUCAGGGAACUAGGUCCCACAUGCUGCAGCUAAAGAUCGAGCAUACCACAAUUAAGACCUAGUGCAGCGAAAUAAAUAAAUAUUAAAAAAAAAGAUUUGAAAAAUCUUAAAAGGUUGGGUGCUAGAACGGUUAGAUAAAUCAAGCGAGGGUGAAUGCCAAGAAUUCAACUUAAAUACCUCCAACCCCACAAGUAUAGGACAGAGCAGACCUAAGAGAGGUUCAGAUGAAGAAUUCCCAGGAGGCUUAAGUUCCUCCAGACCAGCAACAGGAAGUGGUGACCACAACGUAAAUGCAACCCAAUGGCUAUAUUAAAAAAGUAUUAGGUCCAAAUGCAGGGAGUGGAUAGUCCCAGCAGAAAGGAAGUGGUUCUUGACUUGUAAUCACACUGGUACUACUAAAAUUACCAUCCCUGUCCCUAUUAUCAUUGUCCUUCUUAUGCUAUGAGCAUCUUUGGGACAUCACUGAAAUAUUGGGGCUUUGAGAGAACCCCAGAUAGGGCCCAGUGGAAGGGGAGUAGGCUUCCUGACCAGCUGUCCUUUAGAAUCUCAGGUCCCCACUGCUGAGCUGAGCGACAGUGGUCAAGUUAGUUCCCCUUUCUCAGUCCCAAUUCCACCACCUGUGAGGUGGAGAGAACAGUGUGUGAAGACUAAAGGAAACAGUAUCUACAGAGUCUCUAAGGUAGGCCUUCAAUUAUCCCGAGGUCCCUUCCCUGUAAUUUCUAAGAUUGGAUGUGAUUCUUUUGCUUCUUCCCUUUUCAUCGAGAUUUGAUGGAUGCUUAAAACAUUCCACAAAGUGAAAGCAAGGGUCAUAUCACCAAUCCCAAUUAGACAUUACAAAAGCCCCAUAAAUCUGGGUGAGUAUGUUACAGGGAAUUGAAAGCUGAAACUGUAUGGCCAUCGCUCUAAAGAACAGAGCAAUCACUCUUGUAAAGCCCUCGUGUAAUUUUUUUCCGUCUGCUAGCAGUGCGUGUCUAUCAAUAAUUGGUGUGUUAUUGAUUUCCUAACCCUGAAUAAUGCAGCUAAUGGGCCCGCUUUCCCAGCCAGGGUAAAAUGAACGGGCCACGACGCGCUGAGUGAUGGUUACUGGCCUGGUUAUGUGGGAGCAUGUUAACACACAGCUCCGAUGCUGCACAGAAGCUGGGUGUCUCUGGCAUUGAGAAUGGAAUUGAGUAUUGAUUUCUAUACCAUCUUCUUAUUGUUUAAUUAAACAAACCACAGUCCCUAUGUGCUGCUGAUCCACACUCUUGUUAACAAGCUGAAUGGCUUGUCACACGAACCAUCAAACACCCGUCAUGGGCUGUGUGCAUUGGGGCCUGUGGUCUCUUGAUAUUUUAAAGUGGAAUUGAUAGCCCGUGUCCCACUUUACAUGUAAGAUCAAGUCCACGCAAAUCUUUAGCAAAUACCCCUGUUCUGCAGACUCAGGCAGAGGAAUGUGUGAUGGCUAGUUCCUGUGCCAAGUUGACUGGCCGUGGGUUCCCAGAGGCACUGGUAGUGGGCAUGUCUGUGAUGGUGAUGGUGCUUCUGGCUGGUCAGCACUUGAACUUGUAGACUCAGUAAAGCAGAUGCCCUCCCCAGGGCAGGUGGGUGGGCGCUGUGUGUCUCAUCUAACCUGAUGGCUUGAGUAGAACAAAAGGCAGAGGAAGGAGGAAGCUGCCCCCCUUUUCCUUGCCUCCUGCUUGAGCUGGGACUCUCAUCUCAUCGCCUGCCUUCACGCCCAGAUCUUCACCAUCAGCUCCCUGGGUUCUUAGACCUUUGGACUUGGACUGACUUAUACCACCUGCUUUCCACGGGCUCCAGCUUCUAGCCGGGAGCUCAAAGGACCACUGAGCUUCCAUCACUGCUCACUGCAUGGGCCAGUUCUUCACUAUGCACAUUUUAUAAACACAUAUUUACAUUUUGUAUGUACACUUAUAUACAUUACUGUUUCAUGGGACCCAAACUCUGAUCCAGGGGCUUUGUCUGCUUUGGUCAUGUUUCUCUAGAAAAAUCCUAAAAAUCACUUUCUUUUUUAGACUGAACUACAGUUGACCUAUGAUGUUUUAGGUGGCAAGGGAAGGUCAUACCCACAGUGGAUGGCUUGACCUGCACACGGUUCUUUUAGCCCUCCUGCUCUUGUGGACACAUCGCUGUGGGUGGAGUCAGCUCCUGGCGAUGACUCAGGGCUUAGCCUUGUGACCUGCUUUGACCAGUGGACCAUAAGUGGACGAAACAUGCCGCAUGUGACCAGAGUCUUUUCGUCCGCUUUUGUGGUUUGACUUGUCCUCUUGUGCUCCAAUUCUGGUCUUGAGGAAGGCAUGUCCCAGAAAGCCAUUGGCCCUUCAGGAAUAAAAGACCCACAAAGUGAAUGGAAACCCAGCCACGGCCAGAACAGCACUGAACCUGGCUCCCCUGCUGAUGCCUCUGCUUGUCCAGAGGACGACACAGACGUCCACCCACGGGAGCCGGGCUGAAAUCCAUGGGGUGUACAGAAGCAGAUCGAAUGAGCCAGACCGCAGACAUCCACUUGGAGGCAUUUCACAAGCAACCUGGGGCUGAAAAAGCAAGUCAUGGAAUGAUGCGAUCGGAAUGACAUUAUUUACAUAAAGAUUAAAAACCUAAAACACAA